UACAGAGGGUGCAAGCGUUGUUCGGAAUUACUGGGCGUAAAGCGCACGUAGGCGGAUUGCUAAGUCAGGGGUGAAAUCCUGGAGCUCAACUCCAGAACUGCCUUUGAUACUGGCGAUCUCGAGUCCGGGAGAGGUGAGUGGAACUGCGAGUGUAGAGGUGAAAUUCGUAGAUAUUCGCAAGAACACCAGUGGCGAAGGCGGCUCACUGGCCCGGUACUGACGCUGAGGUGCGAAAGCGUGGGGAGCAAACAGG
rnacentral:rRNA from 1 species